UGGCUUAGUCCCCAGAAGCUCUGGUUGCU
rnacentral:piRNA from 1 species